AUGAAACAAAAGUGCUACAUCUGGGGGACGAGACUGAAGGAAGAUGCAAAAGGCGAUACUGACGAGUUUGAGGAGAUAUGCACUCUGAUUGGCCAAGGAGAAUACAUUUUGAUGAGAACGCACCUUGCAUCCCUCCAGGCAAAAAGUGAUAUAGAAUCUCAGAUUGUAUCUGCCAUCUGCCUCAUCCUAAACCAGAAAAAUGAAAAGAGGUUUCAGGAACAAAUAUACUGUCUCCCCCCCGAUAUUGUGAGCAUGGCACUUUCGGAUCACCCAAGGGGGAAUUCAUAUCCCCGAAAACGGAAAAGGAAUUCAGGGUGGAA